GAUGAACGCUGGCGGCGUGCUUAACACAUGCAAGUCGAACGGAAAGGCCACAGCUUGCUGUGGUACUCGAGUGGCGAACGGGUGAGUAACACGUGGGUGAUCUGCCCUGUACUUCGGGAUAAGCUUGGGAAGCUGGGUCUAAUACCGGAUAGGAAUCACAUGUGGGUGUGUGGUUGGAAAGCUUUUGCGGUAUGGGAUGAGCUCGCGGCCUAUCAGCUUGUUGGUGGGGUAAUGGCCUACCAAGGCGUCGACGGGUAGCCGGCCUGAGAGGGUGUACGGCCACAUUGGGACUGAGAUACGGCCCAGACUCCUACGGGAGGCAGCAGUGGGGAAUAUUGCACAAUGGGCGCAAGCCUGAUGCAGCGACGCCGCGUGGGGGAUGACGGCCUUCGGGUUGUAAACUCCUUUCGUCAGGGACGAAGCGAAAGUGACGGUACCUGGAGAAGAAGCACCGGCUAACUACGUG
rnacentral:rRNA from 1 species